AAGGAGGCCCGGGGAGCUGGGGGCGGGUGUCGUGUGCCGGAGACUUGAAAGCGGCGGUCCGCUUCUGGGCCACGUGUUCUGAAAGUUUUGUGGACCAGACGUUCUGCGCAGGGUGCACAUUCCGCAGUCCUGCGGGGGAGUUGAAAGGGGGACGGCCCCACCUUGAAUGUCUUAGAAAAAUGUAAAAAAAAAGUGUGGGGGAAAGGUCAUGUUGUGACGGUGAGUGAAGAAAGUGGACGAUCCCACCUUGAAUGUCUUUGAAAAAUGUUUUUAAAAUGUGGGGGAAAGGUCAUGUUGUGACGGUGAGUGAAGAAAGUGGCCGACCCCACCUUGAAUGUCUUUGAAAAAUGUGAAAAAAUGUGGGGGAAAGGUCAUGUUGUGACGACAUGCACAAAGAUGCAGCGCCAGACCACUCGAGCACAGUAUCACAACCAGAAUGCUGACAUUGACACAAUGCACCUGUCUUACUCAGAUUUCCCCGUCUGGGUAUUUACGUGUGUGCAUAUUUAGUUCCAUACAGUUUUAUCACACAUGUCAGUUUGAUCACCAAAGUGAAGAGAAGGCACUGAACACGUAAAUCACAAGGAUCCCCCCUGUUGGGCUUUUAAAGCCACACCCACUUCCCUCCCCUCCCCACCUCCUUCACCAAGUCCCUAACCCCUGGUGAUUGCUAAUCUGUUCUCAGUUUCUAAAAUUUUGUCAUUUCAAAAUGUUUUGUGAGUGGAAUAAUAUAGCGUGUAACUUUUUGGGAUUGACUCCCCCCCCCCCCUCAGGAUAAUUCUCUGGAGGUUUAUUCAAGUUGUUGUAUCAAUAAUUUGUUUCUUUUUAUUGCUGAGCAGUUUUCCAUAGUAUGGAUGUGCCCAGGUUUGUCUAACCUUUCACCCAUAGAAGUACUUCUGGGCUGUUUCCAGUUGAGGGCUAUUACAAAUAAAGCUGAUAUGAACAUUCAUA